CAUGAAUAGCCGUCGGGUAACAGGGUAGGUCUGAAGGCCGUGGUGACAUGACAUGGUUACAGUCUCGUCGUCAAAGGACCAUGAUGGUAGUGAGGGGUGAGGGGUCUCAAGUGCCUCAGGUCGCACUCGCGAGCCGCGUCGUUUAGCCGUCGGUACCGGCGCCGCCGAGAGUGGGAGGACGACGACCACGAGGAGGGCCGCGCGGUACGAGAGCGGUGCCGCCGGCCGCUGCGCGUGGGCCCGAUGCGCCCGCGCCUCCGGCUGUGGACGCCCCGCCGCGGGCCGCCGAGAGGGGGAAGGCCUCCUCCGCGCCGUCCGGCCGCGGUGCCGGGCCGCGACCUCCUCAUGCCCCCGCCCGCGUAGCACCUGUAGUGCGUGCGCAUGGCGGGGUCGUACGGCCGCAAGCGCGGGCCGCGCUGCCAGCCGGGGGAGCACGCGGAGUUCCGCAGGUACCUCCUGCCCAGCCUCAUGUUGGACAGCCUCGAGGCCUACCUCACGGUGUACCCGUGGGUGCAGCUGCGCGGCCCGGUGUACUUGGUCCGGGUGAAGCGGCGGCCGGAGCUGCAGCUGUGCGAGCUGGAGCUACAGGAGUUGCCAGGACGGAAUGACCAGCUACAAGGUUCUGCGUGUUUAUAUUGUCGACUUAGGUACUUUAGGGAUUUAUAUGGCUUUCCACAAGCAGCACAAGAGAAGUCCUGUAACUUGUGUCUGUCCCCCGAGUACACCUUCCGUCGACCACUAUACUCAAUACAACCUAAAUGUCUCCUACCACGUGUCACCAAUCAACUGUUGUGCCUGUAGUUCGAUCAACCCUAACUGAUAUAUAGUCAACGACGUAAACUAGUAAACUAGAGACGGGUACACCGGAAGAAGUUUUUACGCCUAUAGUAGGAUCAGCUUCGGGACUUUGAUCUGUUGCACUUCUGACCUGAUAUGUGCGACGUGACGAAUGGAGACUCUGACCAACCGAGACUCCCGAGUGGUUAAUCCACGUAAGAAUAGUUCACUAGUGGGUACCACGUAAGAAUAGGCUCACCGACGAGAACGGUUUCCGGCGUUGCAUAGCACGGGCGUCUACGAUGUUAUAGAAACAGGUGCCAGGUAGGAUCACCUUUUUCUCUUACGGAGAACAGUACGUAUGUUCAAACAUAACAUUUUACUUGUUUUCUUUAUAUCGUCAUGAUGCUUAUUCGUUCAUGACGUUCUGUCUGAAUAUCGCUGAGCACAGUCAGACAUUGGUUACUACUUGGUGUGCUUAAACAAUCGACAUAUUAAAGGUUGGCCCAAGUCAUUAAAAGUUCACGUAGAAGGAGAGUCCGUCAAAGACGUUAUAAAGCUGAGCUGAGCGGACGAUGGCAACGACUAUGCAACCUGACAAGAGACAUUACGAUCGCACGGUAUGACAACAUUAUACAUAUAGACGUCUGGGGCGUUUUUUUUUUUAUACAUAUAGACGUCGAUGCAAAGAACAUUUCGUUUUAUUCAACGUACGGCCACUUGUACACAUUCAUCAUGUUAGAAAACUAUACUCAAGAGUAAGAAGGAGACCCACAUGUACCUACUCACUAUGUUGUCCACGUGCCUACCAACUGUCUAUGUAUGAUAAACGGCCCCUCACAAACUUGUCAGAUUUUAGGACACCAAAAGUCUGUGGCGGGGAGAGUGACAGGCAAACAGAGUUAGAGUUGGUCGGCCGGACUCUUUUCGAGCCACGCACGAACGAGGUAAGUAGUCGUAACAUAACUGGUGGUCUUCAGUUCCUUUCUCGACGUUGAACGUCAUUGGUAGUGUCGGGUCUCUCAGGCGUCAGUCGGGAGCCGCCGUACCGCCCGGGCGGUCGAGAGUGGAAGGAGGACGACCAGGAGGAGGAGGGCCGUGUGGUCCGAUAGCGGUGUCGUCGGCCGCUGCGCGUGCCGCCCGGCCGCCGGCCUCCGCGCCGUCCGGCCGCGGUACGGGGCCCCGACCUCCUCAUGCCGCCGCCCGCGUAGCACCUGUAGUGCGUGCACGGCAGGCUGCGCCGCCGCCCCGGGGACCACGCCGAGUUCCUCAGCUACCUCUUGCCCAGCCUGAUGUUGAACAGCCUCGAGGCCUACGGGACGGUGUACCCGUGGGUGCAGCUGCGCGGCCCCGUGUACUAGGUCCGGGUGAAGCGGCGGACAGAGCUGCAGCUGUGCGAGCUGGACCUCCAGGAGUUGCCAGGACGGAAUGACCAACUACAAGGUUCUGUGUGUUUAUAUUGUCGACUUCGUUACCUUAGGGAUUUAUAUGGUUCUCCACAAGCAGCUCAAGAGAAGUCCUGUAACUUGUGUCUGUCCCCCGAGUACACCUUCGUUCCUCCACUAUACUCAAAACAACCUAAAUGCCUCCUACCACGUGUCACCAAUCAACUGUUGUGGCUGUAGUUCGAACAACCCUAACUGAUAUAUAGUCAACGAAGUAAACUAGUGAACUAGUGACGGGUACACCGGAAGAAUUUUUUACGCCUAUAGUAGGGUCAGCUUCGGGACUUUGAUCUGUUGUAGUUGUGACCUGAUAUGUACGACGUGACGAAUGGAGAUUCUGACCAACCGAGGCUCCCAAGUGGUUAGUCCACGUAAGAAUAGUUCACUAGUGAACCGCCGACGAGAACGGUUUCCGACGUUACAUAGCACGGGUGUCUACGAUGUGGGAUCGAUUACAGAACCACGUGUCAGGUAUAGGCAUUUUUAUUUUACGGACUACAGUACAUAUGUUCAGACAUGACGGUUUAGUUGUAAGUUUAAAUCGUAACGAUCUUUACUUGUUACGUGAACAUCUGGGUACCAUCAGACCAACGAGACGGCGACGGUGCGACAUUGGUACAACUUGGUGUACUCAAGUCGUUGAAAGUUCAUGUACAACCGUACAACGCGAGUUCGCUAAAGACGUUAUAAAACUGAGUUGUACGGAUACUACUUUAGACAAUCACGAUGAUGGUAACUACUAUGUAACUUACGAAUGGCAAACUCGGAGACCCA
rnacentral:rRNA from 1 species